rnacentral:rRNA from 1 species
UACGUAGGGGGCGAGCGUUGUCCGGAUUUAUUGGGCGUAAAGAGCGUGUAGGCGGUUCGGUAAGUCUGUCGUGAAAUCCUGAGGCUCAACCUCGGGCGUGCGAUGGAUACUGCCGGGCUAGAGGAUGGUAGAGGCGAGUGGAAUUCCCGGUGUAGCGGUGAAAUGCGCAGAUAUCGGGAGGAACACCAGUGGCGAAGGCGGGUCUCUGGACAGUUCCUGACGCUGAGGCACGAAGGCCAGGGGAGCAAACGGG